AAAAACCAAUAAUCGUGCGGAUUAUCAAACCAGGACUAUAAAACCGUGUUGCUAGUAUGCCUUUCCAUGGUGUAAAUCUAGCGUCAAGUCCAUCGGAGAGAACAUCUCGUUCAUCUUAGCGCCCUUUUGUGUCACGGAAGGUCCUUUUUGGGCCAAGAUCCGGGCACAAGGGCCGGCAGAACGUACAUUC
rnacentral:snoRNA from 1 species